UACGUAGGGGGCAAGCGUUGUCCGGAAUUAUUGGGCGUAAAGAGCGCGUAGGCGGUCCGAUAAGUCGGCUGUGAAAGUCAGGGGCUCAACCCUUGAAAGCCGGCCGAUACUGUCGGACUAGAGUCCGGAAGAGGCAAGUGGAAUCCCGGUGUAGCGGUAGAAUGCGCAGAUAUCGGGAGGAACAUCUGUGGCGAAGGCGGCCAUCUGGACCAGCACUGACACUGAGGCACGAAAGCGUGGG
rnacentral:rRNA from 1 species